CCUACGGGAGGCAGCAGUGAGGAAUAUUGGUCAAUGGGCGAGAGCCUGAACCAGCCAAGUCGCGUGAAGGAUGACGGCCCUACGGGUUGUAAACUUCUUUUGUCAGGGAGCAAUUGGGUCCACGCGUGGGCUUAGCGAGAGUACCUGAAGACAAAGCAUCGGCUAACUCCGUGCCAGCAGCCGCGGUAAUACGGAGGAUGCGAGCGUUAUCCGGAUUUAUUGGGUGUAAAGGGAGCGCAGGCGGUAUGGCAAGUCAGAUGUGAAAACCCAGGGCCCAACCCUGGGACUGCAUUUGAAACUGCCAUACUUGAGUGCCGGAGAGGUAAGUGGAAUUCCUAGGGUAGCGGUGAAAUGCGUAGAUAUUAGGAGGAACCCCAGUGGCGAAGGCGGCUUACUGGACGGUAACUGACGCUGAGGCUCGAAAGCGUGGGGAGCAAACAGGAUUAGAUACCCUAGUAGUC
rnacentral:rRNA from 1 species